rnacentral:rRNA from 1 species
AAAGAAACUAACAAGGAUUCCCCUAGUAACGGCGAGUGAAGCGGGAAGAGCACAAAUUUAAAAUCUACCUGGUUUCCAGGUCGAGUUGUAAUUUGAAGAUACGUUUUUGAKGUUCUGGGUUGGACUAAAUCCUUUGGGAUAAGGUAUCAUAGAGGGUGAGAAUCCCGUAUAUACCAACCGUAGGGAUGUUAUUAAAUACGUUUCUAAGAGUCGAGUUGUUUGGGAAUGCAGCUCUAAAUGGGUGGUAAAUUUCACCUAAUGCUAAAUAUAAGCGAGAGACCGAUAGCGAACAAGUACAGUGAUGGAAAGAUGAAAAGAACUUUGAAAAGAGAGUUAAAUAGUACGUGAAAUUGUUGAAAGGGAAACGAUUGAAGUCAGUCAUGCCGGUGGGAAUCAACUUAGGGGAAACUCURGGUGCACUUCUUCGCUUGGCAGGUCAACGUCGAUUUUGAAUGUCAUAAAAUAAUUGGGGGAAGGUAGCUCCUUCGGGAGUGUUAUAGCCCUUGAUAGAUGUGAUGUUUGGGGUCGAGGAUUGCAACGGAUACCCUUUGGGGCUAGCCGCCUGAUCUCUAAUUGGUGUUGGGUUACGGAUAGCAUGCUGACCGUGAUCUAAUUACUGGUUAAAAGGUUAGAGYGUGCAUAAAUUCGUUAAGGA